GGCGGCAGGCUAACACAUGCAAGUCGAUGUCGGUAGAGAGAAGCUUGCUUCUCUUGAGAGCGGCGGACGGGUGAGUAAUGCCUAGGAAUCUGCCUGGUAGUGGGGGAUAACGUUCGGAAACGAACGCUAAUACCGCAUACGUCCUACGGGAGAAAGCAGGGGACCUUCGGGCCUUGCGCUAUCAGAUGAGCCUAGGUCGGAUUAGCUAGUUGGUGAGGUAAUGGCUCACCAAGGCGACGAUCCGUAACUGGUCUGAGAGGAUGAUCAGUCACACUGGAACUGAGACACGGUCCAGACUCCUACGGGAGGCAGCAGUGGGGAAUAUUGGACAAUGGGCGAAAGCCUGAUCCAGCCAUGCCGCGUGUGUGAAGAAGGUCUUCGGAUUGUAAAGCACUUUAAGUUGGGAGGAAGGGCAGAUUACCUAAUACGUGAUUGUAUUUGACGUUACCGACAGAAUAAGCACCGGCUAACAUCUGUAGCCAGCAGCCGCGGUAAUACAGAGGGUGCAAAGCGUUAAUCGGGA
rnacentral:rRNA from 1 species